rnacentral:rRNA from 1 species
CACCGCGAGGUGAAGCAAAUCUCGAAAAGACGUCUCAGUUCGGAUCGCAGGCUGCAACUCGCCUGCGUGAAGUCGGAGUUGCUAGUAAUCGCGGAUCAGAAUGCCGCGGUGAAUACGUUCCCGGGUCUUGUACACACCGCCCGUCACACCAUGGGAGUCGGAAAUGCCCGAAGUCUGUGACCCAACCUGCAAGGGAGGGAGCAGCCGAAGGCAGGUCGGAUGACUGGGGUGAAGUCGUAACAAGGUACC